AACGUAGGAGGCAAGCGUUAUCCGGAUUUACUGGGCGUAAAGCGCGUGUAGGCGGCUCGGUAAGUGGGUCGUGAAAGCGCCCGGCUAAACUGGGCGAGGACGAUCGAGACUGCCAGGCUAGAGGGUGGUAGAGGGACAGGGAAUUCCGGGUGUAGCGGUGAAAUGUGUAGAGAUCCGGAGGAACACCAGUGGCGAAGGCGCUGUCCUGGGCCACCUCUGACGCUGAUACGCGAAGGCGUGGGGAGCGAACGGG
rnacentral:rRNA from 1 species